AACGAACGCUGGCGGCAUGCCUAACACAUGCAAGUCGAACGAGACCUUCGGGUCUAGUGGCGCACGGGUGCGUAACGCGUGGGAAUCUGCCCUUGGGUUCGGAAUAACAGUUGGAAACGACUGCUAAUACCGGAUGAUGACGUAAGUCCAAAGAUUUAUCGCCCAAGGAUGAGCCCGCGUAGGAUUAGCUAGUUGGUGAGGUAAAGGCUCACCAAGGCGACGAUCCUUAGCUGGUCUGAGAGGAUGAUCAGCCACACUGGGACCGAGACACGGCCCAGACUCCUACGGGAGGCAGCAGUGGGGAAUAUUGGACAAUGGGCGAAAGCCUGAUCCAGCAAUGCCGCGUGAGUGAUGAAGGCCUUAGGGUUGUAAAGCUCUUUUACCCGGGAUGAUAAUGACAGUACCGGGAGAAUAAACUCCGGCUAACUCCGUGCCAG
rnacentral:rRNA from 1 species